rnacentral:lncRNA from 1 species
CCUCCUCAGAGAUGCGAGAGGCGCUGGCCUGAGCGCCUCCGGCCACCUCCUUCUACCUCCGGGCCCUAGGCGCCCGAUCCACCUGCCUAUCUGACCACAGACAUCUUCCCACAAAACAGUGGAGCUUUUUGAAUCUUUGAAGAGAGUCUUCAGAUCUUUUAUCUAAGCAUCUUUGUGAAGCAAAGAAUAAACGGGUAUCUGAGGCCAGCUCGAAAGUUAGGAAAUAAAAUCAGGGUCUUCUACCAGAACAGAGAGAUGAUGCUUUCUGUAAUUUAUUUUGUAUUCAUUCAGUGCACCAAAUUAUCUUAUUACUUGUUUUUUCAUGAGUCCCUUGGAUUUUCCAAGAAAACAGGCAUAUCAGCAAUAUCAAGAACUUUGUUUCUGGCUGGGCACAAUGGCUUAUGCCAGUAAUCCCAACACUUCGGAAGGCCAGCGUGAAAGGAACACUUGACCCCAGGAAUUUGAGACCAGCCUGGGCAACAUAAGGAGAUCUGUCUCUAUAAAAAAUAAGAAAUUAGCUGUGCGUGGUGGCACCAGCCUACAGUCCCAGCUACUCAGGAGGCCAAUGUGGGAAGAUCCCUUAGUCCAGGAGUUCAAGGCUGCAGUGAGCCUUGAUCACGCCACUGGCUCCACUCCGAGCAACAGAGUGAG